CUAGCCCAUAGGCCAUGUUUUGCUUGGCCGUGCAGAAGAGCAUGUUUUUCUGGGGGGGUUUUCUCCCCCCUCCCAAUGUCUGUCAGUGCCCUUCCAUACUAAAACUCUGUAGUAAAAGAACUAAUUGCUUUGUUGCCAUAGAGUAGCAUAUAGGAAGAGGAACAAAGAAGUUUUCUCUGCUUCUGUGUUUAAACCUGCAAGGGGAGUGUAAUUAAAUAGUGUAAAGCAGAGUUGCCUAAUUUCUAAGUGACAGGGGGCCUUCCCUCAACCCUGUGGUGUGGUCUUGUUGUGUGGGGAGUGAUUUCCUCUGCCUUGCAUUGGUGUAGAUACCAUGUGGGGUCCCUGGGUUCCCCAAGGGCUCUUUAAGCCCCAUGGGCUGCACCAGUUCAUCCCUUACCACCCCCACAGGCGGAGCAGGCAGUGGAAGCUGGAGGAGGGACGGGGAGCCUGGGGAUUCCGGCUGUAGCAGGAGCUACAAGAGAGCCAAAGUUGGGCAUGGCAUCCAGCCCAGGCACCACAGUUUAACCCCUCAGGAGUCGCCAGUUGGACAGUCAUGGCAUUUUUACUGCUUUUUGGACACUGUCCAUUUUGUCCUUUGGCAGGAUGCUGCAUAAAUUAAAUCAAAAAUAUGUCAUCUGUAAAUCGCAGGUGAAGUGAGGCAUGCUGUGGAUUUGAAAGUGCACACUCAGCAUGGAGAACAGACUCAAAGCGGUCUGAUGAGUUAUAAGAGAUUCUGGGAAGAACAUUGAUACCAUAAAG